GUCAGAUCUGAAAUUGUUUUGAUUUGCUGGCUUCAUGACAUCUCACAAUAUUCUGCUUCAAAGACCAGCUGGAGCGGAAAAGGACAGCACUUGACAAACUAUUUCAAGGCUAGCAGGUCUCUCGGCAGUCAGCACACUCCAACAUGGCCGCCUCCCCUCAGCCUCCCAGCAGCAUGAAUAUUCUGCUGCUGGUCUGAGGCGGGAGGCUCACCCGGGACCCGGCCCGCCGAGCACUCUGGGAAAUUCAGGGAUCAGCUCCGCCGGCAGAGAGAGAGCAGGAAGCCAUUAUGAUGCAGGAAC